UUGAACGCUGGCGGCAUGCCUUACACAUGCAAGUCGAACGGCAGCGCGGGGGCAACCCUGGCGGCGAGUGGCGAACGGGUGAGUAAUAUAUCGGAACGUACCCUGGAGUGGGGGAUAACGUAGCGAAAGUUACGCUAAUACCGCAUACGAUCUAAGGAUGAAAGCGGGGGAUCGCAAGACCUCGCGCUCAUGGAGCGGCCGAUAUCUGAUUAGCUAGUUGGUAGGGUAAAAGCCUACCAAGGCGACGAUCAGUAGCUGGUCUGAGAGGACGACCAGCCACACUGGGACUGAGACACGGCCCAGACUCCUACGGGAGGCAGCAGUGGGGAAUUUUGGACAAUGGGCGAAAGCCUGAUCCAGCAAUGCCGCGUGUGUGAAGAAGGCCUUCGGGUUGUAAAGCACUUUUGGCGGGAACGAAACGGUUUUGGCUAAUACCUGAGACUAAUGACGGUACCCGCAGAAUAAGCACCGGCUAACUACGU
rnacentral:rRNA from 1 species